rnacentral:lncRNA from 1 species
CAUAGAUGGGGUUUAGAGCUCAGAAAACAGAUUCUGGUGCCAAGUAAUUCUGUAACACUCUCUGGAAAUCAGACCUUGCAAGGAUUUGUCCCGCUCCUUUCAGACUUUCUGGAGGCUGACGUUGGGAUUCAGAGCCAGGGCAAGUGUAUUUCAUGUACUAAGACAAACGUAGCCUCCAGGGUCUCCCAGCCCACCCAACCCUCCUCUCACAGAGAGGCUCUUCCCUAUAUAAUCCAGACAUCUUGGCUUUCUCUGUUCUCUCUCUGGCUCUCUCUUUCUCUUCUCCCUCCUUUUUUCUCCCUCUGACUUUACUGACCCCCUCCUGUGUGGUUGAUGAACUUUCUUGAGAGCUGGAAUAAACUUACCUUUAUAUUUU